rnacentral:rRNA from 1 species
UACGGGGGGGGGCAAGCGUUGUUCGGAAUUACUGGGCGUAAAGGGCGCGUAGGCGGCCUGCUAAGUCACACGUGAAAUCCCUCGGCUCAACCGGGGGAACUGCGUGUGAUACUGGCGGGCUUGAAUUCGGGAGAGGGAUGUGGAAUUCCUGGUGUAGCGGUGGAAUGCGCAGAUAUCAGGAGGAACACCGAUGGCGAAGGCAGAUCUCUGGGCCGUGAACUGACGCUGAGGAGCGAAAGCGUGGGGAGCGAACAGG